rnacentral:lncRNA from 1 species
UCCUGUGUUGUUCUCUGUUAACUUUAGUAUUUAUUUAUCAUCUAAAAACAACUAAACAAUACUUAAUUAAACGGGUCCUUCUUCCAGUUACCUGGUCAAGAAUAGAGGUUGACUACUUUGCGCAAAUCCCUUAUCCAGUUAUCUGGUCAAGUAUCUGAGGUUAUUUUUCAUUGUUCAAAUCUCUAUCUAGUUAUCUGGUCAAGCUUUUACUUAUCAUAUAUACAUCCAGUUAACUGGUCAUUUACUCUAUAUUAUAAAGUGCACUUAUAAUAUAACUUAGUAUCUAUAUACUACAGUUGUUUAUAAAGCACUAUCUAUACUGUAGUAAACAUUCAAGAGAAAAGGCAAGUUUAUAUAAGGCGCGAUUUUGGGACGGUCGCUUUUUCGAAUGGUCCCUUUUGCGGACCUCCGAUUCGGC